ACGAACGCUGGCGGCGUGCUUAACACAUGCAAGUCGAGCGGGAAAGUUCCCUUCGGGGAGCAAGUACAGCGGCGCACGGGUGAGUAACACGUAGGUAACCUACCCUGAAGACUGGGAUAACCUGCCGAAAGGCGGGCUAAUACUAGAUAAGCCCACGAGAGCUGCGGCUCUUGAGGGAAAAGGUGGCCUCUACUUGUAAGCUACUACUUCGGGGAUGGGCCUGCGCGCCAUUAGCUAGUUGGUGAGGUAACGGCUCACCAAGGCUAAGAUGGCUAGCUGGUCUGAGAGGAUGGCCAGCCACACUGGGACUGAGACACGGCCCAGACUCCUACGGGAGCAGCAGUGGGGAAUCUUGCGCAAUGGGCGAAAGCCUGACGCAGCGACGCCGCGUGGGUGAUGAAGGCCUUCGGGUCGUAAAG
rnacentral:rRNA from 1 species